GACGAACGCUGGCGGCGUGCUUAACACAUGCAAGUCGAACGGAAAGGCCCUGCUUUUGUGGGGUGCUCGAGUGGCGAACGGGUGAGUAACACGUGAGUAACCUGCCCUUGACUUUGGGAUAACUUCAGGAAACUGGGGCUAAUACCGGAUAGGAGCUCCUGCUGCAUGGUGGGGGUUGGAAAGUUUCGGCGGUUGGGGAUGGACUCGCGGCUUAUCAGCUUGUUGGUGGGGUAGUGGCUUACCAAGGCUUUGACGGGUAGCCGGCCUGAGAGGGUGAACGGGCACAAUGGGACUGAGGUACGGAGCAGAAUCCUACGGGAGGCAGCGGGGGAGAAAAUGGCAGAAGAAGCGGAAGCCUGAGGCAACAGCGCCGGGUGCGGGAUGACGGCCUUCGGGUGGUGAACAGCUUUGGACUGUGACGAGGAGUGAGUGACGGUAAUGGGUAAGGAAGCAACGGCUAACUACGUG
rnacentral:rRNA from 1 species